GACACCUGGGCGCAGACUGCGGUCAGGAAGCAGAGGAGCCGCCUGAUGCCGUCCUGGACGCCAGCACUUAGAAUGGAGUCCAAGUUGCACGCCAACCGGCAACACCGGCAAGUAAACCGGAAAGGGCACAAAGGCAGAAUCGCUCUGGUUUGUGUCUUCAAGGAAGGUCGCUCCCGCCCUGCAGAGCGCAGUUUGUACCCGAUCUCAGCCAUGCCGCCUGUCAGCAGGACUUGGAGGGACAGCAGUGACCAAGGCUGACCCACUACCCCAGAAUUCAGUCUGACAGAAGAAUAAGACAAAUGAAGAGGUCUUCUGUACGAUGUGACAGAUGCUGUGAGGGGGAAGCCCAAGGUGCUGGGAGCAAAGACAUCAUUCCCCAUGCGUGAUGGCAUUGGCUUUCCAGAGGAUAUCAAGACCACAGAGGACUGUGCUAGAGGGCUGUACUGUGGCAUCAGAUCUUAGCUGUGGCCCUGGGAAGUGACUUGGCCUCUGGAGGAUUCUUCUGGUCUUUCCACAGUUGCAAGAUGGUUGCGGAAGCAUGAAGCAUUUUUUUCUAUAUCUUUGUUUGAGGAAAAAUAUCAAAGGGUGUUGAUUUCUUAAUAAACAUUUGGAACUUUU